ACAGGAUUCCCUUAGUAACUGCGAGUGAAGUGGGAAAAGCUCAAAUUUAAAAUCUGACAGUUUUUGAAAUUGUCCGAAUUGUAAUCUAAAGAAGCAUUAUCCGCACUGGACCAUGUUACAAGUCUCCUGGAAUGGAGUGUCACAGAAGGUGAGAAUCCUGUUUUUGACAUGGACUACCAGAGCUUUUGUGAUGUGCUCUCAAUGAGUCGAGUUGUUUGGGAAUGCAGCUCUAAAUGGGUGGUAAAUUCCAUCUAAAGCUAAAUAUUGGCGAGAGACCGAUAGCGAACAAGUACCGUGAGGGAAAGAUGAAAAGAACUUUGGAAAGAGAGUUAAACAGUAUGUGAAAUUGUUGAAAGGGAAACGCUUGAAGUCAGUCACAUUGGUCAAGAAUCAACCCUUGUCUCUUUUUUGCUUGGUGUAUUUCUUGAUGAAUGGGUCAGCAUCAAUUUUGAUCAGUGGAAAAAAGUUGAGGGAAUGUGACAUCUUUUUAAGAUGUGUUAUAGCCUUUGAUUGCAUACACUGGUUGGAAUUGAGGGAUUCAGCAUGCCGCAAGGCUGGAUUUUUUUUUCAAAUCACACUCAUGCUUAGGAUGCUGGCACAAUGGCUUUAAUCGACCCGUCUUGAAACACGGACCAAGGAGUCUAACAUACCUGCAAGUGUUCGAGUGAAAAACUCAAGCGCGUAAUGAAAGUGAAAGUUGAGAUCUCUGUCGUGGAGAGCAUCAACACCCAGACCAGACCUUUUGUGACGGUUCUGCGGUAGAGCAUGUAUGUUGGGACCCGAAAGAUGGUGAACUAUGCCUGAAUAGAGUGAAGCCAGAGGAAACUCUGGUGGAGGCUUGUAGCGAUUCUGACGUGCAAAUCGAUCGUCGAAUUUGGGUAUA
rnacentral:rRNA from 1 species